rnacentral:rRNA from 1 species
UACGAGGGGAGCAAGCGUUGUUCGGAUUUACUGGGCGUAAAGGGCGCGUAGGCGGCUCUACAAGUCACUUGUGAAAUCUCCGGGCUUAACUCGGAACGGUCAAGUGAUACUGUCGAGCUAGAGUACAGAAGGGGCGACUGGAAUUCUCGGUGUAGCGGUGAAAUGCGUAGAGAUCGUAAGGAAGACCAGUGGCGAAGGCGGGUCUCUGGACAGUUCCUGACGCUGAGGCACGAAGGCCAGGGGAGCAAACGGG